UACGAAGGGGGCUAGCGUUGCUCGGAAUCACUGGGCGUAAAGCGCACGUAGGCGGCUUUUUAAGUCAGGGGUGAAAUCCUGGAGCUCAACUCCAGAACUGCCUUUGAUACUGAGAAGCUCGAGUCCGGGAGAGGUGAGUGGAACUGCGAGUGUAGAGGUGAAAUUCGUAGAUAUUCGGAAGAACACCAGUGGCGAAGGCGACACACUGGCCCGUUACUGACGCUGAGGUGCGAAAGCGUGGGGAGCAAACGGG
rnacentral:rRNA from 1 species